AGAAGGCUGACAGUGAACUGGAGAAGAAGCUGGAGAAGGAUCUGAAGAGCCCGGAAUUAGCUAAAGCUGAAGCAGAAGGUCAGAAAGAGGCAACGAAUCUGGAGAAAGAAAUCACCAGCGUUUUGAAGAAGGUGUUGAAGGAACUGG